UGGGGAAUAUUGGACAAUGGGCGCAAGCCUGAUCCAGCAAUGCCGCGUGUGUGAAGAAGGCCUUCGGGUUGUAAAGCACUUUUAUCAGGAGCGAAACGCUGUCGGCUAAUACCCGGCGGAACUGACGGUACCUGAGGAAUAAGCACCGGCUAACUUCGUGCCAGCAGCCGCGGUAAUACGAAGGGUGCAAGCGUUAAUCGGAAUUACUGGGCGUAAAGCGUGCGUAGGCGGUUUCUUAAGUCUGCUGUGAAAUCCCCGGGCUCAACCUGGGAAUGGCAGUGGAUACUGGGAGGCUAGAGUGUGUCAGAGGGUGGUGGAAUUCCCGGUGUAGCGGUGAAAUGCGUAGAGAUCGGGAGGAACAUCAGUGGCGAAGGCGGCCACCUGGGACAACACUGACGCUGAGGCACGAAAGCGUGGGGAGCAAACAGGAUUAGACACCCUGGUAGUCCACGCCCUAAACGAUGCGAACUGGAUGUUGGUCUCAACUCGGAGAUCAGUGUCGAAGCUAACGCGUUAAGUUCGCCGCCUGGGGAGUACGGUCGCAAGACUGAAACUCAAAGGAAUUGACGGGGUCAUAGCUGUUUCCUG
rnacentral:rRNA from 1 species